UCCGUUCCCUCAGAGACACAUGAAGAUUCUCGGUUUUCUGACAGCUGACACUGGUCGCUGGAGAUUUCCGUGUGACUCACCGGGCCUAAGGUCAAACAAGCAAGCACAGUGGAGCGCUGACCUUCUGACCUGCUGUGACUCAUGGCGGUUUCAUGUUCCAAACCCAGUCGCCAUGGACACAAAACAUGCAUUUGUUAGGAAGGCAACACUUUACCAUGUCAUCUCACAACGACAAAGCUGCCUUAAUCAGUUAAUCGACGGUCUGUCCUACUAUGAAGUACUUCCACUUCGGAGGGACAACCCUAGCAUGCGGAUUAUUCUUGACAUCUGCAGAAAGAGAUGAUGUCACUGCAGAAAUAGUUUCUUGCCUUUUAAAACCAAGCUCCUUUGUCCUCGGAAGUAACAGCAGGCCAAAAGAGGAGCUCAUGGUCGUGAAGUUUAAGAGACUUUAACAUGUUAAUGCUAAAAUCAUGGCAGAUGAUGAUGAUGAGUGUGAUUCCUACUUUGUGGUGGCUCUCAUGGCUGGAGGCGUGUUUAGCACCAUAUAAUACAACAGCACACACAGUAAAUUAUAUUUUGUAAUUAUAUAUUUUGCACCAUAAAUUCAAACAGCACCUACUUUUUAAAGAAGAAAAUCCUAAUCCCAUUUAUGUUUUAUUUAAUUACUUAUUUGUGUCAUACUAUUACAGCUGUUUGUUUGUUCUGAUACACAAUAGUAAUACACUACACUCAAGUGAAGUAAUACACCAUAAAGUGUGUUUUAGUCUGAAUGUUUUAUUCAUAUGAUUGUAGUUUUUCGCUUUAUGCAAAGACAAAUACCUGUUUCAAAGAAUAAAAGUCUCAACUGCAUUGCUUGCUUUUGUAUUUAUUUGACUUUACUUACCAGUGGCUAUGAUUUUAAAUAUUAAAACUAUUACACCUAUUUACACACUAUUUACAUCAUUACAGAUGAGUUAACCCAAGUGCAUUACAAUGUCCAGCAAAUGUUGAAUUGCUCAGAAGGGAAUAGUGAGAUUACAUUUUAGUUGAAAACAAACUGCUGCACUCUU